rnacentral:rRNA from 1 species
AUUGAACGCUGGCGGCAUGCCUUACACAUGCAAGUCGAACGGCAGCACGGGUGCUUGCACCUGGUGGCGAGUGGCGAACGGGUGAGUAAUAUAUCGGAACGUACCUUAUUGUGGGGGAUAACGCAGCGAAAGCUGUGCUAAUACCGCAUAAUCCCUAAGGGGGAAAGCGGGGGACCGUAAGGCCUCGCGCAAUUAGAGCGGCCGAUACCUGAUUAGCUAGUUGGUGAGGUAAAGGCUCACCAAGGCAACGAUCAGUAGCUGGUCUGAGAGGACGACCAGCCACACUGGGACUGAGACACGGCCCAGACUCCUACGGGAGGCAGCAGUGGGGAAUUUUGGACAAUGGGGGCAACCCUGAUCCAGCAAUGCCGCGUGAGUGAAGAAGGCCUUCGGGUUGUAAAGCUCUUUUGGACGGAAAGAAAUCGCACGGGCCAAUACCUCGUGUGGAUGACGGUACCGUAAGAAGAAGCACCGGCUAACUACGUGCCAGCAGCCGCCGUAACAC